rnacentral:rRNA from 1 species
GACAGAGGGGGCAAGCGUUGCUCGGAAUCACUGGGCGUAAAGGGCGCGUAGGCGGGAUGGCAAGUCGGUCGUGAAAUCCUUCGGCUCAACCGAAGAACGUCGGCCGAUACUGCCGUUCUUGAGGGAUGCAGAGGAGAUUGGAAUUCCCGGUGUAGCGGUGAAAUGUGUAGAGAUCGGGAGGAACACCGGUGGCGAAGGCGGGUCUCUGGGCAUUUCCUGACGCUGAGGCACGAAAGCGUGGGGAGCAAACAGG